rnacentral:rRNA from 1 species
AUGCACGCUGGCGGCGUGCCUAAUACCUGCAAGUCGAGCGCACGGACGAGAAGCUUGCUUCUCUGAUGUUAGCGGCGGACGGGUGAGUAACACGUGGAUAACCUACCUAUAAGACUGGGAUAACUUCGGGAAACCGGAGCUAAUACCGGAUAAUAUUUUGAACCGCAUGGUUCAAAAGUGAAAGACGGUCUUGCUGUCACUUAUAGAUGGAUCCGCGCUGCAUUAGCUAGUUGGUAAGGUAACGGCUUACCAAGGCAACGAUGCAUAGCCGACCUGAGAGGGUGAUCGGCCACACUGGAACUGAGACACGGUCCAGACUCCUACGGGAGGCAGCAGUAGGGAAUCUUCCGCAAUGGGCGAAAGCCUGACGGAGCAACGCCGCGUGAGUGAUGAAGGUCUUCGGAUCGUAAACUCUGUUAUUAGGGAAGAACAUAUGUGUAAGUAACUGUGCACAUCUUGACGGUACCUAAUCAGAAAGCCACGGCUAACUACGUG